CUAAGGACCCAGCAGAUGCUAGGUGGAGAAGUCUUAAAUCUGGUAAAGAAAGGGCUGCUUCUCCUUUUAAUGUGACCAUGCUGGGACAACACCCCCUCACCCACUAAUAUCUGCAGAAAGCCACUGGGAAGAGCCCCACAUACGUUUUUCGCUGUUCAGCCAAGGAGUUUCCUCUGGUCUGGGCAAACAUGUCAAAACCAUCUUGUGGCUUGCACUGCUGAAGUGAACUGAGGGUGCCACUGACACUCUCUGUCCCC
rnacentral:lncRNA from 1 species